UGGGGAAUAUUGCACAAUGGGGGAAACCCUGAUGCAGCGACGCCGCGUGAGCGAUGAAGUAUUUCGGUAUGUAAAGCUCUAUCAGCAGGGAAGAAAGUGACGGUACCUGACUAAGAAGCCCCGGCUAACUACGUGCCAGCAGCCGCGGUAAUACGGAGGGGGCUAGCGUUGUUCGGAAUUACUGGGCGUAAAGCGCACGUAGGCGGCGAUUUAAGUCAGAGGUGAAAGCCCGGGGCUCAACCCCGGAAUAGCCUUUGAGACUGGAUUGCUUGAACAUCGGAGAGGUGAGUGGAAUUCCGAGUGUAGAGGUGAAAUUUCGUAGAUAUUCGGAAGAACACCAGUGGCGAAGGCGGCUCACUGGACGAUCGUUGACGCUGAGGUGCGAAAGCGUGGGUAUCAAACAGGAUUAGAUACCC
rnacentral:rRNA from 1 species